GCUUAACACAUGCAAGUCGAGGGGCAUCAGGAAGAAAGCUUGCUUUCUUUGCUGGCGACCGGCGCACGGGUGAGUAACACGUAUCCAACCUGCCCUUUACUCGGGGAUAGCCUUUCGAAAGAAAGAUUAAUACCCGAUGGCAUAAUGAUUCCGCAUGGUUUCAUUAUUAAAGGAUUCCGGUAAAGGAUGGGGAUGCGUUCCAUUAGGUUGUUGGUGAGGUAACGGCUCACCAAGCCUUCGAUGGAUAGGGGUUCUGAGAGGAAGGUCCCCCACAUUGGAACUGAGACACGGUCCAAACUCCUACGGGAGGCAGCAGUGAGGAAUAUUGGUCAAUGGGCGCUAGCCUGAACCAGCCAAGUAGCGUGAAGGAUGAAGGCUCUAUGGGUCGUAAACUUCUUUUAUAUAAGAAUAAAGUGCAGUAUGUAUACUGUUUUGUAUGUAUUAUAUGAAUAAGGAUCGGCUAACUCCGUGCCAGCAGCCGCGGUAAUACGGAGGAUCCGAGCGUUAUCCGGAUUUAUUGGGUUUAAAGGGAGCGUAGGUGGACUGGUAAGUCAGUUGUGAAAGUUUGCGGCUCAACCGUAAAAUUGCAGUUGAUACUGUCAGUCUUGAGUACAGUAGAGGUGGGCGGAAUUCGUGGUGUAGCGGUGAAAUGCUUAGAUAUCACGAAGAACUCCGAUUGCGAAGGCAGCUCACUGGACUGCAACUGACACUGAUGCUCGAAAGUGUGGGUAUCAAACAGGAUUAGAUACCCUGGUAGUCCACACAGUAAACGAUGAAUACUCGCUGUUUGCGAUAUACAGUAAGCGGCCAAGCGAAAGCAUUAAGUAUUCCACCUGGGGAGUACGCCGGCAACGGUGAAACUCAAAGGAAUUGACGGGGGCCCGCACAAGCGGAGGAACAUGUGGUUUAAUUCGAUGAUACGCGAGGAACCUUACCCGGGCUUAAAUUGCAGUGGAAUGAUGUGGAAACAUGUCAGUGAGCAAUCACCGCUGUGAAGGUGCUGCAUGGUUGUCGUCAGCUCGUGCCGUGAGGUGUCGGCUUAAGUGCCAUAACGAGCGCAACCCUUAUCUUCAGUUACUAACAGGUCAUGCUGAGGACUCUGGAGAGACUGCCGUCGUAAGAUGUGAGGAAGGUGGGGAUGACGUCAAAUCAGCACGGCCCUUACGUCCGGGGCUACACACGUGUUACAAUGGGGGGUACAGAAGGCAGCUAGCGGGUGACCGUAUGCUAAUCCCAAAAUCCUCUCUCAGUUCGGAUCGAAGUCUGCAACCCGACUUCGUGAAGCUGGAUUCGCUAGUAAUCGCGCAUCAGCCACGGCGCGGUGAAUACGUUCCCGGGCCUUGUACACACCGCCCGUCAAGCCAUGGGAGCCGGGGGUACCUGAAGUACGUAACCGCAAGGAUCGUCCUAGGGUAAAACUGGUGACUGGGGC
rnacentral:rRNA from 1 species